rnacentral:lncRNA from 1 species
UGAAACAAAAGUUAACAAACCAAUUGUGCAAAUAUAUAUGCAUCUAAAAAACUAGACAGUGAGUGUGUUUUAGGAAACGUCAAAACUCAAACGAAAUUCCAGCACAAAGUACACGUACAAAGAUCCAUUUUCUACCACCCAACCGUAUCAAAGUGGUAGCAAGAGCAAGAACAGAUUCCCAUUUACAGACGUUAUCGUUCUGCUUGAACUGAUGCGCAUACAUUCCAAUUGACAGUUUUCAGAGGACCUUCGCCGAAGUUGGAAGCAAUAAUUGAACAGUCUCCAAAGUCAGCUAUUUUCUUAAAAAAAAGCUCCAUAUUGAGCCAGAAGUCAGCAUUGUAAAGCAUUGGCCAAAAGCAUAGCUAACAUUACAGUUCAGCAAUCCUAUAUACUAUAGUGCGCGUACCUCCAACGUACUUGCAUAAAAUCCAACAUAUUCGCAUAUCCAAAAAUUCGAAAUUUAUUGAUUUACAAUUGGUCAGUGACAAAAAGCACACGGUCAAAUAAAUGCUAAUUUUACCUUGCUCCCGUUUUCCGUAAAAAAAAAGUAAGCAAAAAUUUUGAAACUAAAGUGUUUUAAUAAAAUUAAAUACAAAAUAUCUUAACAUUGAAAAGUUUAUAUUGGCCAAAAAAAGUAAAAAAAAAAAAUUGAAAAAAAGCAAAAAUAAUCUGCAAAGUAGUCAACAGCCGUAGCAAUCGUAUAACUCAGUGUUCGUGUUUACAGAACUCGUGAAAACGUGAGAGAUUCGUGGGAACUUUUUCUCCACGCGAACAAACAACCCCCGUUUUCUUAUUCGGGGCAUAUCUAUUGUACAUUCCACAAAAACGUUGUGACGCGCAUUUAAAACUCGCCACCCACUAACAAACCAACAAGCACAGCGGCACUAUAGUCUUGUCUUGCAGUGUGCUCGUUAUUCUGCUCUUCCACGCACUAGUUACUACCUUAAGACCAUAAUCGGUACGACGUCUACAAGUCUGCUCUUGCACUACAUACAUAUAAAGUUACUUGGAGUCGAAACACUCCCACCAAUACACACGUAUCAAUUGAUAUAGAAAAGUGCCAGCAAGUGCAUUGUUGGCAAAUAUAUUUUGCGUGAAGAAGAAUUUGUAGAAAGCAAGAAACCAGUUAGUGGUCGAAAAUGUUCUCUGGCCUAACAAAUCAAUUUACUUCAUU